rnacentral:rRNA from 1 species
GUCGACGAGAACUAGUUCAUUCGUAAGAUUGAAUUAGGGACAGUGGCGAACGGGUGCGUAACACGUGAGAAACCUGCCCUGGAGAUCGGGAUAGCCCGAGGAAACUCGGAUUAAUACCGAAUAUGCUCACAGGACCGCAUGGUCCGGUGAGGAAAUGGUCCGCUGCUCCAGGAUGGUCUCGCGGCCUAUCAGCUAGUUGGUGAGGUAACGGCUCACCAAGGCUCCGACGGGUAGCUGGUCUGAGAGGACGAUCAGCCACACUGGGACUGAGACACGGCCCAGACUCCUACGGGAGGCAGCAGCAGGGAAUAUUGCACAAUGGGCGAAAGCCUGAUGCAGCGACGCCGCGUGCGGGAUGAAGGCCUUCGGGUUGUAAACCGCUUUCAGGAGGGACGAAAAUGACGGUACCUCCAGAAGAAGGCCCGGCCAACUACGUGCCAGCAGCCGCGGUAAUACGUAGGGGCCAAGCGUUGUCCGGAUUUAUUGGGCGUAAAGGGCUCGUAGGCGGUUUGACAAGUCGGUCGUGAAAGCCCGGGGCUCAACCCCGGGACGCCGGUCGAAACUGUCAUGACUAGGGUCCGGUAGAGGUGAGUGGAAUUCUCAGUGUAGCGGUGAAAUGCGCAGAUAUUGAGAGGAACACCAGUAGCGAAGGCGGCUCACUGGGCCGGUACCGACGCUGAGGAGCGAAAGCGUGGGGAGCAAACAGGAUUAGAUACCCUGGUAGUCCACGCCGUAAACGUUGAACACUAGGUGUGGCGAGUUAAUCCAUACUUGCCGUGCCGCAGCUAACGCAUUAAGUGUUCCGCCUGGGGAGUACGGCCGCAAGGCUAAAACUCAAAGGAAUUGACGGGGCCCCGCACAAGCGGCGGAGCAUGCGGCUUAAUUCGAUGCAACCCGAAGAACC